GCCCUCCUGUGGCACAGUGGGUUAGUGUGUCUGGCUGUUAACCAGAAGGUUAGUGGUUCGAGCCCACCCAGGGACG
rnacentral:tRNA from 1 species